GAACGCACAUUGCGCCCGGCAGUAAUCUGCCGGGCAUGCCUGUCCGAGCGUCAUUUCUGCCCUCGAGCCUGUCCAGCAUCUAGGUGCUGUUCCGGCCCGGCGUUGGGGCACUACGGGAAGCCUCGUGCUAUCCCCCGUAGGCCCCGAAAUGAAGUGGCGGUCCUGCCGCGGCUCCCCCUGCGUAGUAUUACAGCUCGCUUCGGGACCCGGUGGAGGCCUGCCGUCAAACCUUACUCUCUAAGUUUGACCUCGGAUCAGGUAGGGUUACCCGCUGAACUUAAG
rnacentral:misc_RNA from 1 species